CCUACGGGAGGCAGCAGUGGGGAAUAUUGCGCAAUGGGCGAAAGCCUGACGCAGCGACGCCGCGUGAGGGAUGAAGGUCUUCGGAUCGUAAACCUCUGUCAGCAGGGAAGAACGGUCACUGUGCUAAUCAGCAGUGAAUUGACGGUACCUGCAAAGGAAGCACCGGCUAACUCCGUGCCAGCAGCCGCGGUAAUACGGUGGGUGCGAGCGUUAGUCGGAAUUACUGGGCGUAAAGCGCUCGUAGGCGGUAUGUCAAGUCAAGGGUGAAAUCCCCGCGCUCAACGUGGGAACUGCCGUGGAAACUGGCAAACUGGAGUGUGUGAGAGGAUAGUGGAAUUCCAGGUGUAGGAGUGAAAGCCGUAGAGAUCUGGAGGAACAUCAGUGGCGAAGGCGACUAUCUGGCACAUAACUGACGCUGAGGAGCGAAAGCGUGGGUAGCAAACAGGAUUAGAUACCCUUGUAGUC
rnacentral:rRNA from 1 species